rnacentral:lncRNA from 1 species
AUUGUGGUGCCGGCGAGAGCAACGUCCCCUUUGUGAUUCUUCGUGGCUUAGUGUGUGCGUGAUCGAGAGGAAGAGAGCUGUACCUGAGCCGAGAAGAUCGACGCCCCUUGUUCCUUUCUUUGUGUGUUUUUCCUUGCAGGUUGUCGAGUCUGCUGCUACCUCGUUGCUGCGCCGCUGUUGCUGCUGCGUUGUUGCCGGAGGACAGCCGCCGCUGCUGCUGCCCCUGCCGCCGCCGUCCCUGCUGCUGUUCCGCCGCUGUGUUGCCGCUGCUUUGCUGCCCCGGAGAAGGAAGCCUUCAACAACGACGACGAGGGUCGAUACUCAACAGUGGUAUCAGAGCCACGGUUGACCUCGUCGUCGCAUUGGUAAGUCGGGGUCCUGACCUUAGGAUCCCGCUCUGGUAAAGCGGCUUAAACCUCUCUUGUUUUUCAAUUUCUAGUUGUUGCCAUCUGGUGCAGUUUAGGCUUGGUGCUUAUCUGCUGGUAGAUAUCUAGGAUUCGUGUGUCGAAUUCUGUUUUCUGUUUUUUUUUUUUUCUCGCUGUUACUAUUCACGUGAAUAGUGAUUUCAUGAAUAGUGUUUUUGGUCUCUUAUUUUUACUUCCGCUAUAAACUCUGUGGUUGUCAAUCUUUGUGAGUCUUUGUGAUUAUUUGCUUCGUGUUGCGAUGUCUUCUUUGGCAAAUUAUGGUUUAGCUCCUUUUAAUGGUAAAACGGACUUCGGUUUUUGGCAGCAGAAAAUGGAAUGUAUUUUAAUUCAACAAAAUGUUUAUCAAGUAAUUGAUGAUUCGUAUGAUGAAGAUGUUGAUGAGAAAAAGAAAACUCAAUUAAAUCGUCUUGCCUUGUCUGCUAUUGUUCUCAACUUGUCUGAGUGUGUUCUUAGAAAAGUAGGGAGAAUGACUUCUGCUAAAGAACUAUGGUCUAAGUUAGAGGAGUUGUACACUGGAACCUCGUUGCCGUCUAAGAUAUUUUUGAUUGAAAGGUUUUUCCGUUUCAAACUUGAUUUGAAUAAGAAAAUUGAUGAAAAUGUUGAUGAAUUCACUAAGUUAGUUCAAGAUAUAAAACUGACGGGUGAUAAACAUAUUGAUGAGUAUGCUCCGUAUGCUCUUUUAAAUGCUAUUCCUGACUCUUACAGUGAUGUUAAAUCUGCUAUUAAGUAUGGUAGAGAUAAUGUGACGCUUGACACUGUUGUGAGUGCUUUAAAGAAUAAGGAAUUAGAUUUAAAUUCUAAUAUUUGUGUUCAAGAACCGGACAAAGUCAUGCAUGUUAGGGGUGAAAAGAGAUUUAAUGAUAAGUCUAAUCAUAGAUAUAAGCCUAGGAAGUGCUAUAACUGUGGUGAAACUGGUCACUAUAUUAAGGAUUGUCCUCACCCUAAGAAAAAACAAGAUGUAGAGCAUGCUAAUGUAAUUGGUAAUGAAACCAAUAGUGAUGUGUUCUAAGGUGGAGCUCUUUCUUAAUGCCUUAGUGUUGUUCUUUGUGAUUGUUUAGGCUUUGUGGCUUUGUGAGACUUCGGUGGUUAGUGCCUUAAUGACUAUGUGAGUCUUUGUGGCUUAGUGUCUUUGUGAUUGAUUAGUAGCUUUGUGUCUAUGUGGCUUUGUGAGUUUUACUUUGUGAUGACCGUUUGUGUCGCAUGUUAUCUUCGUGAUCAUGUGUACUUUGUGAUCUGUGCUAGCUCUUUGUGGCUCUUUGUGCUAGACUAACUUUGUGUUAGUGUGCUUCGUGCUUGGUGGCUGUCUUCUCUUGUUUGUGUUUUGCAGGAAUUGACUUGGUUAGUUUACCCGUUGACCUUUGUGGUCUUGUGUUUCCCUGUUAUUUCUUUGUGAUUUAACAGGGGGCUCGGCGAUGAUGAUUAUGGUACAGCUUCCUCUUUGAUGCACACAAUACCGUGAUUGGGCCAAAGGUGGAGAUACUGUUAAUUGGACAAAUAUCUGAACAAAAAAGCAAAAAAAAUAACAACAUUAUUUUGGCAGCCCUCCCAUUUCCCCUCCAGUCGAAAUUAGUGCCCUUUUGGGGCUGUGACCCCUGCGCUUCUUCUCCCCCAUGAACCUCUUCACCUUCCUUCUCUAGAUCCUUCUAUGGUAGGCUAUUUAAAGAGCCCUUGGUCUGUGGCUGUAGUAGGAGACGAAAAUUGCUUAGUGUUCUUCCUUUGUGUGGAGGUGCUACCGGUGAAGGUGUAAGGCUUGUUGGCCGAUUGUGGUGCCGGCGAGAGCAACGUCCCCUUUGUGAUUCUUCGUGGCUUAGUGUGUGCGUGAUCGAGAGGAAGAGAGCUGUACCUGAGCCGAGAAGAUCGACGCCCCUUGUUCCUCUCUUUGUGUGUUUUUCCUUGCAGGUUGUCGAGGCUGCUGCUACCUCGUUGCUGCGCCGCUGUUGCUGCUGCGUUGUUGCCGGAGGACAGCCGCCGCUGCUGCUGCCCCUGCCGCCGCCGUCCCUGCUGCUGUUCCGCCGCUGUGUUGCCGCUGCUUUGCUGCCCCGGAGAAGGAAGCCUUCAACAACGACGACGAGGGUCGAUACUCAACAG